rnacentral:rRNA from 1 species
CAAGUCGAACGGCAGCACGGAGAGCUUGCUCUCUGGUGGCGAGUGGCGAACGGGUGAGUAAUAUAUCGGAACGUAUCCAAUAAUGGGGGAUAACGAGUCGAAAGAUUCGCUAAUACCGCAUACGCCCUACGGGGGAAAGCAGGGGAUCGUAAGACCUUGCGUUAAUGGAGCGGCCGAUAUCUGAUUAGCUUGUUGGUGAGGUAAAGGCUCACCAAGGCGACGAUCAGUAGCUGGUUUGAGAGAACGACCAGCCACACUGGAACUGAGACACGGUCCAGACUCCUACGGGAGGCAGCAGUGGGGAAUUUUGGACAAUGGGGGCAACCCUGAUCCAGCCAUUCCGCGUGAGUGAAGAAGGCCUUCGGGUUGUAAAGCUCUUUCGCAAGGGAAGAAAACUUAUGAUCGAAUAAAUCAUGAGGUUGACGGUACCUUGAUAGGAAGCACCGGCUAACUACGUGCCAGCAGCCGCGGUAAUACGUAGGGUGCGAGCGUUAAUCGGAAUUACUGGGCGUAAAGCGUGCGCAGGCGGUUUUGUAAGUCGGAUGUGAAAUCCCCGGGCUCAACCUGGGAACUGCGUUCGAAACUGCAAGGCUAGAGUGUGUCAGAGGGGGGUAGAAUUCCACGUGUAGCAGUGAAAUGCGUAGAGAUGUGGAGGAAUACCAAUGGCGAAGGCAGCCCCCUGGGAUAACACUGACGCUCAUGCACGAAAGCGUGGGGAGCAAACAGGAUUAGAUACCCUGGUAGUCCACGCCCUAAACGAUGUCAACUAGUUGUUGGUAGAGUAAAAUCUAUGAGUAACGUAGCUAACGCGUGAAGUUGACCGCCUGGGGAGUACGGUCGCAAGAUUAAAACUCAAAGGAAUUGACGG